rnacentral:rRNA from 1 species
UACGUAGGGGGCUAGCGUUGUCCGGAUUUAUUGGGCGUAAAGAGCGUGUAGGCGGCCAAGUAGGUCCGGUGUGAAAACUCGAGGCUUAACCUCGAGAUGUCAUCGGAAACCAUUUGGCUAGAGUCCGGAAGAGGAAAGUGGAAUUCCUGGUGUAGCGGUGAAAUGCGUAGAGAUCUGCAAGAAUACCCGUGGCGAAGGCGGCCAGCCGGGCCGGUUCUGACGCUGAGGCGCGAAAGCGUGGGGAGCAAACAGG